ensembl:lncRNA
GAGAGCUGCAGGAAGUAACAAGCAGGAUAGGAAUUUAUCUAUUCCUGGCAAUUGCUGCUCCCAAUUGAGCAUCCUAAACCAGAGCUCUGGAUUUCUACUUCUUAUUAUUCCUGUUCCCCCUCCUCCAAGUGGAAGUGUUGCUAUCUGGGAGUGGUGUCUGGUAUGCGGGUGCUCAGGAUGACCGUCAGAUCUGUACGUGAAUCCUACCCCUGACUCAUGCUCUGUGACUCACCUGAGUCUAUGGAUAAGAAUUAAAGGAUCAUUUAUGCUAGUUCUUCCCGAGAGCCAUGUGGUGGAUAGUCCUGGACACCUGGCAUCUCUUAUGCCUCAGUUCUUCAACCACAUCCAGAGGAGUCCAAAUGAAUGAAAGUAUCUGAGAGCAGCUGCUCAGAAGAGGAA